rnacentral:rRNA from 1 species
UGCCAGCAGCCGCGGUAAAACCAGCACCUCAAGUGGUCAGGAGGAUUAUUGGGCCUAAAGCAUCCGUAGCCUGCUGCAUAAGUCACCGGUUAAAUCCAUAUGCUCAACAUAUGGGCUGCCGAUGAUACUGUGCAGCUAGGGAGUGGGAGAGGUAGACGGUACUCGGUAGGAAGGGGUAAAAUCCUUUGAUCUAUUGAUGACCACCUGUGGCGAAGGCGGUCUACCAGAACACGUCCGACGGUGAGGGAUGAAAGCUGGGGGAGCAAACCGGAUUAGAUA